AGGGAAUAUUAAGUGUCUCAUGUUUGGUUGGUUCUUCGUUUGAAAUAUUAGCCUUCUAACAAGCUUAUCAAAUGUAGUAGAAAAGUUAUUCUAUGCACCUUCUGUUGUCAUUUAUGACAAUGCUUGCAAUUUGUAUACAUACUUCUUGAAUAGAGAUCUAUGUUUCAUUCAGAAGACUAGAUUUUAUGUUGAUCAUCUUCAUUGGAAGAAUCACACUGGUUGCUCCAGGGCAUACAAUCUAGAUGAGUAUUCAGAAUGGUGCCAUUUGAAUAGCCAAGUGGUAGAGCAAUCUAAUUCCAGAGUGAAGAAAUUGAUAAUCUACUAGUACAGUAUGAUGGUGUGGCUUUGUAUGUUUGUGCACAAGUCUUCUCUCAACAAGUCCGUACAGAAAACAUUUAGGUCACGUAAUGUUUGUUUAUAUGCAGUAACCCCAUAUGUUGUUUUCAUUAAAUAUCAUUAGAUAUAUUGCUAAAUAUUAUUUUGGAAAGUGUUUGCAGUUCAUGUUUUUAUUUGUAUGAGGGCCCUUGAUGUAGUACAUGUAAUAUUAAAGUUACACAAGAUUAUUUUUAGAAUAUAAAUACCAUAGCAUGUAUUUGAUUUUUAUCACAGCCAGAUAAACAGUCUAGUUUGUAUUCUUCCUAAUGUUGUAUUCAUUAUUAAGUCAAAAACGGGGAAUGCAUUAAAAGCUGUAUCUCAGGCAUACCUUGAUCAAUUCUCUUCAAAUCUUGUAUACUUAGUCUGUUACAGGUGUAAUGAUUUUGUGAUUAUGUCAAAAAUGGCUGACAGGGACUGCGCACUGCAAUAUCUAUUCUUGAAUGGGCAAGGUUGUAAUAGUUACACUAUGUUUGGAAAUUAAUUACAUGUAUGCGAACAUGAUGAUUUCACUUGAGUCAUAAUUAUUGUAUUCGGACAAAUUGAAAUUACUACAUUUUAUAUUGCAUAAUAUAAUGUAUUUUUUUAUAAUUUUCACAUGAAAUGAUUUAGAUCAUGAAAUUUCAGUUUUUGGGAGUUAUUUGCUGCUGUUUAAUGUUAUAACACUAUUAAAUCAAGUCAACUGAAUGUUUACUUUGAAUAUUUGAAUAUAUAUAUUCUAAUGUUAAUUAAAAGCCAUCAGUAAGCAUGAUUACAAGCCAUUGGUGCUUGGAAACAUUGUGACUUCAUAACAGUAACAUAUUAAUGGAUUGUUCUGGUGGUCAGAUCUCAUAAUACUAAUUUAUUGUAGAUAAAAACUAGCCAUGAUAAACUCAUCAUAUUGUGUUGCUGCAAUGUACAAUACCUCUGCAAUAACUGGAUUACACCCUUUGGUACUCAUUACCCUUUUGUAAGAGCAUUCAUCAUGUACCAAUGUUAAUUGUUAUUAUUAAUAAAACUGCUUAAACUGUUGACUUGUGAUUAUGGCCUCAUAUUUCAAGACUUUAUUUUAUGCAAAUCUGUAAGUACCUUACAAUCAUUAAAUGCUGCCUGGAAAUCAGAUACAUUUAGCCAAUUCAUGCUAUAUAAAUGGGUCUUGUAAUAUAAA
rnacentral:lncRNA from 1 species